UGCUGGAGGUAUCAGAAGUGCGAAUGCUGACAUAAGUAACGAUAAAGCGGGUGAAAAGCCCGCUCGCCGGAAGACCAAGGGUUCCUGUCCAACGUUAAUCGGGGCAGGGUGAGUCGACCCCUAAGGCGAGGCCGAAAGGCGUAGUCGAUGGGAAACAGGUUAAUAUUCCUGUACUUGGUGUUACUGCGAAGGGGGGACGGAGAAGGCUAUGUCAGCCGGGCGACGGUUGUCCCGGUUUAAGCAUGUAGGCGGAGGUUCCAGGUAAAUCCGGUACCUUAUUAACGCUGAGGUGUGAUGACGAGGCACUACGGUGCUGAAGUGAUAAAUGCCCUGCUUCCAGGAAAAGCCUCUAAGCAUCAGGUAACACGAAAUCGUACCCCAAACCGACACAGGUGGUCAGGUAGAGAAUACCAAGGCGCUUGAGAGAACUCGGGUGAAGGAACUAGGCAAAAUGGUGCCGUAACUUCGGGAGAAGGCACGCUGAUAUGUAGGUGAAGUCCCUGCGGACGGAGCUGAAAUCAGUCGAAGAUACCAGCUGGCUGCAACUGUUUAUUAAAAACACAGCACUGUGCAAACACGAAAGUGGACGUAUACGGUGUGACGCCUGCCCGGUGCCGGAAGGUUAAUUGAUGGGGUUAGCGGCAACGCGAAGCUCUUGAUCGAAGCCCCGGUAAACGGCGGCCGUAACUAUAACGGUCCUAAGGUAGCGAAAUUCCUUGUCGGGUAAGUUCCGACCUGCACGAAUGGCGUAAUGAUGGCCAGGCUGUCUCCACCCGAGACUCAGUGAAAUUGAACUCGCUGUGAAGAUGCAGUGUACCCGCGGCAAGACGGAAAGACCCCGUGAACCUUUACUAUAGCUUGACACUGAACACUGGUCCUUGAUGUGUAGGAUAGGUGGGAGGCUUUGAAGCGUGGACGCCAGUCUGCGUGGAGCCAACCUUGAAAUACCACCCUUUAAUGGCUGGUGUUCUAACGUAGACCCGUAAUCCGGGUUGCGGACAGUGUCUGGUGGGUAGUUUGACUGGGGCGGUCUCCUCCCAAAGAGUAACGGAGGAGCACGAAGGUUGGCUAAUCCUGGUCGGACAUCAGGAGGUUAGUGCAAUGGCAUAAGCCAGCUUGACUGCGAGCGUGACGGCGCGAGCAGGUGCGAAAGCAGGUCAUAGUGAUCCGGUGGUUCUGAAUGGAAGGGCCAUCGCUCAACGGAUAAAAGGUACUCCGGGGAUAACAGGCUGAUACCGCCCAAGAGUUCAUAUCGACGGCGGUGUUUGGCACCUCGAUGUCGGCUCAUCACAUCCUGGGGCUGAAGUAGGUCCCAAGGGUAUGGCUGUUCGCCAUUUAAAGUGGUACGCGAGCUGGGUUUAGAACGUCGUGAGACAGUUCGGUCCCUAUCUGCCGUGGGCGCUGGAGAAUUGAGGGGGGCUGCUCCUAGUACGAGAGGACCGGAGUGGACGCAUCACUGGUGUUCGGGUUGUCAUGCCAAUGGCACUGCCCGGUAGCUAAAUGCGGAAGAGAUAAGUGCUGAAAGCAUCUAAGCACGAAACUUGCCCCGAGAUGAGUUCUCCCUGAGACCUUGAGUCUCCUGAAGGAACGUUGAAGACGACGACGUUGAUAGGUCGGGUGUGUAAGCGCAGCGAUGCGUUGAGCUAACCGAUACUAAUGAACCGUGAGGCUUAACCUU
rnacentral:rRNA from 1 species